CAGAUAAACUGGUUCAGGUAUGCUGUGCACAAUUCCCGAAAAAAACGACGAUGAAGAUUAAUCCACAGAGUAAAUCCGUAUUAUGGAAAUGUUUUAUAAUCAUGUUUGGAAAAGUUGUCGGAAGUUUGGUGAUGGUGACGUUGAAGUCGCGCGACCGUGGUGUAAUUAGUUGAUAGCAUAGGGUUAGUUUUUUUUUUUUAUUAUUUCUGGCGACUGUAUUUAGGCUUCAGAUUUCAUAAAGGUUGUGUUAAUUUAUGAAAAUUAACUUGAUGGACAAAAUGUGUUAGUAUUGUAAACGUUUGUUGACCACAGAGGUUUUUAUUUUUUGAUCAUCCAAAAGCCUAUGUGAAAAUCCUUUUUACUUUUUUUUUUUUUUUUUUAAUUAUUACUAUUAUUAAUGCAAGUUACAUACAAUUAAUUGAUAAUGAAAGUAAAGCAUCAUUUAUACAUAUAUGCAUAUACAUUAAAAAAAACAGAAAACUUUACUGAAAUAAAUUAAAAGGUGAAAUAACUUUAUUGUCUUAAGAGCUUUAAGAUUCUUAGAUGAUGAAAUAUUUUGGAUGUACUGUUGGACCGCUCUUCUAAAAACAAUGAAUAAGGGAUUUUGAUGAGUGAAUUUACUGCCGUGAAUGUGGAAAUUUGCAAGGAGCAAUAAAAGAUUAAUAAUAAAGUAUUCAUUAAAUUGAGCUUUUUGUACAUUACAGAAGCCAAACAGUACAUCGAAAAAAUCCUAUUGGGUUUUGUCAAGGGAAACAGUGUGAUAACUUCCAGGUUACAGUACAAAAUGGCGUCAUCACUGCACCGCUCUAUGAAGGGGGCGAAAGUAACGGCCAUAUAGAACGCACGUCAUUUUUCCAAGCUGAAGCUGGAGUUGUUUAAUUACUGACACUGGUGUAAACAAGAAUUCUGAUUUUCAUCACUUCAGUUUGAACGACUCUGUUAAAUGGCUGCCGUUGGCGGUCUCCCUCUGCAACGCGCCCUGAUUGGAGGUGAAACAGUGGGAAGGGCUGCACUUUGGGGCAGGGGAAACAUGUAUCAAUGCCUAACCCUAACCAGGAGCCCUAAUAGGUGUGUUCAACUUGGGCUGCGGCUGGAUGUAACCGAUCAGUGAGAGAUGCCGCUUGCAGUCGGAGUCGUCAAGUCGGACACUUUCUGCUUCCCGUAGUGACUCUUGCGCAGUGUUUGCUUUCUUUGGACUAAAUGUAAAAUUUCUCAAAUAAACAGACGUCUAAAUUUUACAUGUAGCAACCAGAAACCCUUUUCACUGAAUGGGUUAAUAUUUUUUCUGGGUUCUAUAUUUUUUAUCAGUUUUAUUUUUAUUAAAAAUUACACUAUAACAUUAAGGAUACAUGAAAAGGGUUUUUACUGAUAGAAAAAUAUGGAUUUGUGAGCCUUAGCGGAACUGAAGGUGUCAGAAUAAACACGAAAAGCAUGUCAUCGUUGUCGUCGGUGAGUCUGGCCAAUCGUGAAAUAGUUUUGUCAUUAUCAGAGCUAAUGCAGCCGCUCUGGAGAAGCUGCUCUCGUAUUGCUAUCGCGGUACUUUGAG
ensembl:lncRNA